rnacentral:rRNA from 1 species
UACGAAGGGGGCUAGCGUUGUUCGGAAUUACUGGGCGUAAAGCGCACGUAGGCGGAUAUUUAAGUCAGGGGUGAAAUCCCAGAGCUCAACUCUGGAACUGCCUUUGAUACUGGGUAUCUUGAGUAUGGAAGAGGUAAGUGGAAUUGCGAGUGUAGAGGUGAAAUUCGUAGAUAUUGCAGGAACACCAGUGGCGAAGGCGGCUUACUGGUCCAUAACUGACGCUGAGGUGGCGAAAGCGUGGGGAGCAAACAGG